rnacentral:rRNA from 1 species
AAUCAAACCAAAUCUGUAAAACUCGGGACCUCUUCAGUGCAUGGUUUUCUGUGAUGCAUUUGCUUGUUUGGUGCUUGGGGAUGUUUGAGGCAGAUUUGUAACCGCCGUUUUGAGGCCAGCUUGCUGGUACCCAAACAGCGUUAGCUUCUUUUGUCUUGGACAUUUGAGUAUGGUUUACGGGCAUUUAUUGGUUCGAUCUGAUUGUAAGUUACGGUCGCAUGCGACACGUGCUUUUCAUUUAGAUCGGUCCAGUUAAUGCUCUCGUACUCGCUCCCCAUGUAAAAGCCGGUCAUCUAUCCGACCCGUCUUGAAACACGGACCAAGGAGUUUAUCGUGUGCGCAAGUUUUUGGGUGUUAAAAACCUAAAAGCGAAAUGAAAGUAAAUGGCUCUUUAGAGUCUGACGUGCGAUCUUGUAAAAAAGGGCAGCAUGGCCCCAUUCUAACUGUUUACAGUAGGGUGGAGGAAGAGCGUACGCGGUGAGACCCGAAAGAUGGUGAACUAUUCCUGAGCAGGACGAAGCCAGAGGAAACUCUGGUGGAAGUCCGAAGCGGUUCUGACGUGCAAAUCGAUCGUCUGACUUGGGUAUAGGGGCGGAA